CAUCUCGAAAGGGAGCUAAUACCGCAUACGUCCUACGGGAGAAAGCAGGGGAUCACUUGUGACCUUGCGCUAAUAGAUGAGCCUAAGUCGGAUUAGCUAGUUGGUGGGGUAAAGGCCUACCAAGGCGACGAUCUGUAGCGGGUCUGAGAGGAUGAUCCGCCACACUGGGACUGAGACACGGCCCAGACUCCUACGGGAGGCAGCAGUGGGGAAUAUUGGACAAUGGGGGGAACCCUGAUCCAGCCAUGCCGCGUGUGUGAAGAAGGCCUUAUGGUUGUAAAGCACUUUAAGCGAGGAGGAGGCUCUUUUGGUUAAUACCCAAAUGAGUGGACGUUACUCGCAGAAUAAGCACCGGCUAACUCUGUGCCAGCAGCCGCGGUAAUACAGAGGGUGCAAGCGUUAAUCGGAUUUACUGGGCGUAAAGCGCGCGUAGGCGGCCAAUUAAGUCAAAUGUGAAAUCCCCGAGCUUAACUUGGGAAUUGCAUUCGAUACUGGUUGGCUAGAGUGUGGGAGAGGAUGGUAGAAUUCCAGGUGUAGCGGUGAAAUGCGUAGAGAUCUGGAGGAAUACCGAUGGCGAAGCAGCCAUCUGGCCUAACACUGACGCUGAGUGCGAAAGCAUGGGGAGCAAACAGGAUUAGAUACCCUGGUAGUCCAUGCCGUAAACGAUGUCUACUACCGUUGGGGCCUUUGAGCUUUAGUGGCGCAGCUAACGCGAUAAGUAG
rnacentral:rRNA from 1 species